rnacentral:rRNA from 2 species
AUAACUCCGGGAAACCGGAGCUAAUACCGGGUAAUACAUCGCACCGCAUGGUGCAAUGUUGAAAGUUGGCUUUCUGAGCUAACACUGCAGGAUGGGCCCGCGGCGCAUUAGCUAGUUGGUAAGGUAAUGGCUUACCAAGGCGACGAUGCGUAGCCGACCUGAGAGGGUGAUCGGCCACACUGGGACUGAGACACGGCCCAGACUCCUACGGGAGGCAGCAGUAGGGAAUCUUCCGCAAUGGACGAAAGUCUGACGGAGCAACGCCGCGUGAGUGACGAAGGCCUUCGGGUCGUAAAGCUCUGUUGUUAGGGAAGAACAAGUACCGUUCGAAUAGGGCGGUACCUUGACGGUACCUAACCAGAAAGCCACGGCUAACUACGUGCCAGCAGCCGCGGUAAUACGUAGGUGGCAAGCGUUGUCCGGAAUUAUUGGGCGUAAAGCGCGCGCAGGCGGUCUUUUAAGUCUGAUGUGAAAGCCCACGGCUCAACCGUGGAGGGUCAUUGGAAACUGGAGGACUUGAGUGCAGAAGAGGAGAGUGGAAUUCCACGUGUAGCGGUGAAAUGCGUAGAUAUGUGGAGGAACACCAGUGGCGAAGGCGGCUCUCUGGUCUGUAACUGACGCUGAGGCGCAAAAGCGUGGGGAGCAAACGGGAUUAGAUACCCUGGUAGUCCACGCCGUAAACGAUGAGUGCUAGGUGUUGGGGGGUUCCACCCUCAGUGCUGAAGU